GUUUCUCUCAUUUUCCUGAAUCAUCACAACCCCGAUAUUCUCAACCUAUAUCUCGGUCGGCAGGUAACACCCCUCCCGAUAUAUCGGAGGCUCAAGACACGCCGGCCAAGCUGAAUUAUACUGACAUAUUAUAAACAACAUUAGCUCAACUUGCCAGUGAUGCCGAUGGCGGCCGGGAUAGCAUCGCCUACGGAUCGAGCUCCACCAGUGGGGCCCACAAUGGUGCCCGUACAAACGCCGCCGAUGAUGGUGGCUGACGCGUUCGCCAAGGA
rnacentral:misc_RNA from 1 species